rnacentral:rRNA from 1 species
AGUGAACGCUGGCGGUAUGCCUAACACAUGCAAGUCGAACGGCAGCACAGUAAGAGCUUGCUCUUACGGGUGGCGAGUGGCGGACGGGGGAGGAAUACAUCGGAAGCUACUUUUUCGUGGGGGAUAACGUAGGGAAACUUACGCUAAUACCGCAUACGACCUACGGGUGAAAUCAGGGGAUCUUCGGACCGGGCGCUGUUGAAUGAGCCGAUGUCGGAUUAGCUAGUUGGCGGGGUAAAUGCCCACCAAGGCUACGAUCCGUAGCUGGUCUGAGAGUAUGAUAAGCCACCCUGGAAGUGAGACACGGACCCGACUCCUAAGGGAGGCAGCAGUGGGGAAUAUUGGACAAAGGGCGCAAGCCUGAUCCAGCCAUACCGAGUGGGUGCCGACGGCCUUCGGGUUGUAAAGCCCUUUUGUUGGGAAAGAAAAGCAGCAGGUUAAUACCCAGCUGUUCUGACGGUACCCAAAGAAUAAGCACCGGCUAACUUCGUG